rnacentral:rRNA from 1 species
UACGAAGGGGGCAAGCGUUGUUCGGAAUUACUGGGCGUAAAGGGCGCGUAGGCGGCUUAUCAAGUCAGGCGUGAAAUUCCCGGGCUCAACCUGGGGGCUGCGCUUGAUACUGAUUGGCUUGAAUGCGGGAGAGGAUAGUGGAAUUCCCAGUGUAGAGGUGAAAUUCGUAGAUAUUGGGAAGAACACCGGUGGCGAGGGCGGCUAUCUGGCCCGACACUGGCGCUGAGGCGCGAAAGCGUGGGGGGCAAACAGG